rnacentral:rRNA from 1 species
UACGUAGGUGGCAAGCGUUGUCCGGAAUUAUUGGGCGUAAAGCGCACGCAGGCGGUCCUUUAAGUCUGAUGUGAAAGCCCACGGCUCAACCGUGGAGGGUCAUUGGAAACUGGGGGACUUGAGUACAGAAGAGAAGAGUGGAAUUCCACGUGUAGCGGCGAAAUGCGUAGAGAUGUGGAGGAACACCAGUGGCGAAGGCGACUCUUUGGUCUGUAACUGACGCUGAGGCGCGAAAGCGUGGGGAGCAAACAGG